GACGAACGCUGGCGGCGUGCUUAACACAUGCAAGUCGAACGGAAAGGCCCUGCUUUUGUGGGGUGCUCGAGUGGCGAACGGGUGAGUAACACGUGAGUAACCUGCCCUUGACUUUGGGAUAACUUCAGGAAACUGGGGCUAAUACCGGAUAGGAGCUCCUGCUGCAUGGUGGGGGUUAGAAAGUUUCGGCGGUUGGGGAUGGACUCGCGGCUUAUCAGCUUGUUGGUGGGGUAGUGGCUUACCAAGGCUUUGACGGGUAGCCGGCCUGAGAGGGUGACCGGCCACAUUGGGACUGAGAUACGGCCCAGACUCCUACGGGAGGCAGCAGUGGGGAAUAUUGCACAAUGGGCGGAAGCCUGAUGCAGCAACGCCGCGUGCGGGAUGACGGCCUUCGGGUUGUAAACCGCUUUCGCCUGUGACGAAGCGUGAGUGACGGUAAUGGGUAAAGAAGCACCGGCUAACUACGUGCCAGCAGCCGCGGUAC
rnacentral:rRNA from 1 species